rnacentral:rRNA from 1 species
AGCAGCCGCGGUAAUUCCAGCUCCAAUAGCGUAUAUUAAAGUUGUUGCAGUUAAAAAGCUCGUAGUUGAAUUUCGGGGUUAGUAGAUUGGUCAUGCCUCUGGUAUGUACUGGUCUCACUGAUUCCUCCUUCCUGAUGAUCCGUAGUGCCAUUAAUUUGGUGUUGCGGGGAAUUUGGACUGUUACUUUGAAAAAAUUAGAGUGUUUAAAGCAAGCUAACGCUUGAAUACAUUAGCAUGGAAUAAUGAAAUAGGACGUUCGAUCCUAUUUUGUUGGUUUCUAGGAUUGACGUAAUGAUUAAUAGGGAUAGUUGGGGGCAUUAGUAUUCAAUUGUCAGAGGUGAAAUUCUUGGAUUUAUUGAAGACUAACUACUGCGAAAGCAUUUGCCAAGGAUGUUUUCAUUAAUCAAGAACGAAAGUUAGGGGAUCGAAGACGAUCAGAUACCGUCGUAGUCUUAACCAUAAACUAUGCCGACUAGGGAUCGGAUGAUGUUAAUUUUUUAAUGACUCA